rnacentral:ncRNA from 1 species
GUCAUCGCGAGGUGGGGUGGGAAGGAAGCCGGAGGCGAAUCCCUGCACCGAGGGACACGAACCGCAUAGAAGGCAUUCCGAUCGGGGUAAGGCUGCACGCGAAGCUGAAGCCCGUUCCACCGAAACGGUCGGGGUGUAAAUGCGGCGGCGGCAGGGGGAAAGUAAAUGUU